UACGGAGGGUGCAAGCGUUAUCCGGAUUCACUGGGUUUAAAGGGUGUGUAGGCGGACUUUUAAGUCAGCGGUGAAAUCUCCGGGCUCAACCCGGAAACUGCCAUUGAUACUAUUGGUCUUGAAUGUCGUGGAGGUGAGCGGAAUAUGUCAUGUAGCGGUGAAAUGCUUAGAGAUGACAUAGAACACCGAUUGCGAAGGCAGCUCACUACGCGAAUAUUGACACUGAGGCACGAAAGCGUGGGGAUCAAACAGG
rnacentral:rRNA from 1 species